AUGCUGGAUAUGGAGACUUCCGAGAACUAUCUUGGUCCAUCUCAAUCAGCAAAUGAGAACAGUGUUGGAAGCCAGUAUGUCAGGGCUGGGGAUUGCCUUGGCAUAAAGCUACGCCAUCUACGCCUUGCUCCUUUUUGUGACGUGACAACUGGAAGCAAUCAGAAGAGUCUGCUAGGCCAGGCUUGUGUCCAUCCAAGAGAACGCAGCGUUGAGUCUGUGAUUUCCUGCACACCUACGGCACCACUCAUGGCCAGCCAGCUACAACAAAUGGAGAGAAGAGACACUAUUAAUAUCCCCAGCAAGCGACAGACUGCAGCGUGAGCUGCAGUAAGCAUCAGGCAAUCUGCACAUGGAAGCAGCAUUACACAUGUUUCAACCUCCAGAAAACAUUCAGUCAAUGCCUGCUCCUUAUGAGCACUGGAAAAUGAAACUCUGUAACAUGGGUACAUAGAAAAUCGGGCUCCCUUAGCUCUACAUCUCAUGGAGCAAAUAGUAACGAUCAAAAGAAAUGCUCGGCAGAGCCCCGUCCCUGAGGUAUACCACUUCGGUUACUAGCAGACAUCUUGCCAAUAGCAUUUUUGUCAAGUAUUUUCACUUCAAGCUUUUACCACCUGACAGAUCCAUAACGUUGUCUCUCACAACGCGUGUCACUGACAGCAGCUGGGGUCAUGCUUCAGCUGGUCUAUAACGAUCUGUAAUGCUCUGUAGCUAUCUCACUCUGCAGGGAGUUUGCACUGCUAACCACACAGUGACAUGAACACACUUUAAACCGUGCACACAGGUUAAGACACAGACUCACUAUUAUGUAACAAAUUAUUGUAAGUAGUUAUCAGUAACUUCUUUCCUAUGGCAAAAGCUAAACUUGGUGUACAAUAUGAGGCAUGGAUCUAAGAAAAGAUACAAAAUAUUUCUUUCAUUUUUUGCUUUUAUUUACAAAAUUAAUUUUAGAGGAUAUACUUAAAAUUCUGCCCAUCAACAUGGAUGUGUACACUUCUGUAGUAUCCCUGACCUCCAUAUUAUAUGUAUGGAAAUAUAUAUAUAUUCCACACAACAUAUAUAUUUUUUAAUUUUCCAUAUCUGUAACUCUUGCACGAUGAAGGAAAUGAACUUUCAUCUUUUUAUGUAGACUAUAUGAUAGUGAAAGGAUAGCAUGGGUUUUUGAACAAUCGUCUGCAGUACAUUAAUACAUGCUGUAAGUGUCA
rnacentral:lncRNA from 1 species